rnacentral:lncRNA from 1 species
GAAAAACUUCAGUCACAAAAGCAUUGCUUCUCACACCGAUGUCUGCAGCUUCGGAGAGUAGAGGUCCACCCACAGGAGCAACACAAGCAUAACCACCACAAAAUCUUGAACAGGCAGUCAUUCUGAAUCAGAGAUUUCGUCUUCAUCCUCGUCCAGUAUGUAGACCAGGGCCCGCUUUCUUGCAGCUAAAACACAAGCCACACCUCUACUUGCUGUCGCCAUAAAAACAUGAACUUGAUUUCAGUCCAACGUUCCUUGAAUAUAUGGCCAUAACUAACGUGAUGUUUAGAUACCUUUGUUGGGUAAAAGCAAAAGUACAACACGCAUUAUGCUAAAACACAGGCAGUAAGCAAACCUUGGUGCCUAAGGAGGCUAUGGUAUGCAUGUAAACUACGAAUGCUCUACAGUAUCUUGCUAUACUAGCUACCAUGAUAGUAUCUAUCAUCAUGAACAUGUACAGGUUCUCAGUCAGUAACUAGACUGCAGUGAACCUACCAUAAGAAGAUUAUUCUCUGUACUUGUGCGGUCUCUAAAGAUUCACCUUUUCUGCACUUUGACCUCUCAAUUGAUUUAAAUUUAGGGGAAAACCUGAUACUUUAGCAUAUUACUUCUUCAACUGAAAAAAAAAUUGUUCUUCUUUGGAGCAUAAGUUUGCAC